GGUACAGUACGGCCUGAGAAUUUUGUUCCAGCACCGGUGUGAGGAAAACAUCUGAGCCCAUGAAUUGCCAGACCCUGGAUACCUGAGACACAUCCACUUGCUUCUCAGGUUUGGAGUGCAUAAUGAGGAGAAAUAAACACAGAAAGAUCUCCAGAAAGAAGCCAUGGUAAGAUUCAAGGUUUCACAGUCCAAGCUAAUGCCUGUAGACACUUGACCAAGUGAUCUGAGAAAAUUGGAUUUCUGGCAAAACAAGUGUACCUAGACUCAGGCAAGGGUGGAGAACAGAGGGCGACUAGAUUAAAUGGAAAGAAUGCCCAGGCAUCCCAUUGCCUCCCUUUGAUGUUCCAGAACUUCGUCAAGACAGUGAUGAGCUACAUGUACACCUGGAGGAGAGUUCAGGAUCAAGCUCAGAAGCGCACAGCUGCCAGCAAGCAGUCUACUACUGAACUGCACCAUCUCUCCAGCCUGUGCUUACUCUUGAAUAGCCCCAAAGUAGUCAAUGGUGUGGGCCCUGAAAGGAACUGUAUACCUGCUCUGCCCCUGACUGCUUCUGCCUCUACCUCAAUGUACUGUGACUGUUUAACAAGGUUGCUCUGGCUCAGGCUGAGAAAUUGACUCCACCCUUACCCUGACGCCUGGCAUGUCCACAUGUGGUCCUGUGUAGUCAGCAACCGCAGAGAACAAGUUACAAGAAAUUAAAGACACGGAAUUCCAAAGGACAAUACAUGUUCAACAAGCUCAAACCAUUCAGAGAGGGCACAGAAUGAAAUUAAAGACAACAGGAAUAAAAUUCUGGGAGUCCAAGUAUACAAAAACACAGCUCAGCAAAACAUGGAACAGCAAGACUGUAAAUUCUCAGUCCAGCUAUGGAUAAUUUAGGAUCCUUUGUAGGGCUAUUUGGUACUGGACAACCAAUUGGAGUGUUGUUUGCGGGGGAGGACCACCUCUCCAGGUAGAAUCUAAACAUCAGAAAAUCAACAACCCAGUUAAAAUAAUCUAGAGCACUAACCAGAGCGUUCUCAGAAGAAGCACUACAAACGGCUAAGAAACACAAGACUGCUCAACAUCCUUUGCCAUCAGGGAAACACAGAAGCUCACUUUUCAGUUUUCAUCUUUCUGGAGUCAGAAUGGUUAUCGUCAAGAAUGCCAGUGACAUGGAUGUAGAGGACGGAUUCCUUCAUUGUCUAAGUCUCUGGAAAUAGUGCAGAAGAGUAGUCAGGGACUAAAAGAUGGAAGACAGAAAGUUCCAUCCUAGAGACUCAAUACAGCCAUUGCAAUGAUGAACUCACAAAAACUGCAUUUACCUGAACUUAGCCUGCUCAAGACAUUGAAAGUGUUUCAAAGUAGCUUUUCCUGUUGUGAAUGUACCUCUCAGCUAGUCUGGUUUCUGGUUCAGAGCUCUUAGGCACAGAGUUGUCUUGAACAUUUGCUUACAGGCACUUGUGUAGAUAUCAGCUGCUUUUUUUUUGUUAAAUCUCUGAAGUAAAUGCCUAGGCGUUCAAUGGCAAUGUUAUAUCAGUAUGUAUUUAGCUUAGUUUUAAAAUAAGAAACUGUCAAAUACUUUUGUAGAAUUACUGGACCAUUUUACACCCCUGCCAACAAAGUAAGAUUGAUCCAGCUCCCCACAUUCUCAUAAACAUUUGUUUUUGUUUCUUUAAGAAGACAAGUUAACCAUUCCAUUUAUUGAGAAUUUACUUACCAUUCAGUGCAUUGCUUAGAUAUGUAGUAUUCAGUUUUUAGUACACAUACAAGGUUGUGUAUCGAUUACUACUAAUUCCAGAACAUUUCCAUUACCAUAGAAAAAGAAACCCAAUAUUCAUUUUCAUCUCUCCUCUAUGGACUUACCUAAUCUAGAUAUACCAAAUAAAUGGAAUUUUU
ensembl:processed_transcript 5530601H04Rik RIKEN cDNA 5530601H04 gene